UACGUAGGGACCAAGCGUUGUUCGGAUUUACUGGGCGUAAAGGGCGCGUAGGCGGCUUAACAAGUCACUUGUGAAAUCUCCGGGCUUAACUCGGAACGGCCAAGUGAAACUGUCAAGCUAGAGUGCAGAAGGGGCAAUCGGAAUUCUUGGUGUAGCGGUGAAAUGCGUAGAUAUCGAGAGGAACACCUGCGGCGAAGGCGGGUUGCUGGGCUGACACUGACGCUGAGGCGCGAAAGCCAGGGGAGCGAACGGG
rnacentral:rRNA from 1 species